rnacentral:rRNA from 1 species
UACGUAGGGAGCAAGCGUUGUUCGGAUUUACUGGGCGUAAAGGGCGCGUAGGCGGCAAUUCAAGUCAUCUGUGAAAUCUCCGGGCUUAACCCGGAACGGUCAGGUGAUACUGUUUUGCUAGAGUGCGGAAGGGGCAAUCGGAAUUCUCGGUGUAGCGGUGAAAUGCGUAGAUAUCGAGAGGAACACCAGAGGUGAAGACGGGUUGCUGGGCCGACACUGACGCUGACAGCGCGAAAGCCAGGGGAGCAAACGGG